rnacentral:rRNA from 1 species
AUUGAACGCUGGCGGCAUGCCUUACACAUGCAAGUCGAACGGCAGCACGGGUGCUUGCACCUGGUGGCGAGUGGCGAACGGGUGAGUAAUACAUCGGAACAUGUCCUGUAGUGGGGGAUAGCCCGGCGAAAGCCGGAUUAAUACCGCAUACGAUCUACGGAUGAAAGCGGGGGACCUUCGGGCCUCGCGCUAUAGGGUUGGCCGAUGGCUGAUUAGCUAGUUGGUGGGGUAAAGGCCUACCAAGGCGACGAUCAGUAGCUGGUCUGAGAGGACGACCAGCCACACUGGGACUGAGACACGGCCCAGACUCCUGCGGGAGGCAGCAGUGGGGAAUUUUGGACAAUGGGCGAAAGCCUGAUCCAGCAAUGCCGCGUGUGUGAAGAAGGCCUUCGGGUUGUAAAGCACUUUUGUCCGGAAAGAAAUCCUUGGCCCUAAUACGGUCGGGGGAUGACGGUACCGGAAGAAUAAGCACCGGCUAACUACGUG